UACGUAGGGUGCGAGCGUUGUCCGGAAUUAUUGGGCGUAAAGAGCUUGUAGGCGGUCUGUCGCGUCUGCUGUGAAAAUCCGGGGCUCAACCCCGGACUUGCAGUGGGUACGGGCAGACUAGAGUGUGGUAGGGGAGACUGGAAUUCCUGGUGUAGCGGUGAAAUGCGCAGAUAUCAGGAGGAACACCGAUGGCGAAAGCGGCUCUCUGGAACGG
rnacentral:rRNA from 1 species